rnacentral:rRNA from 1 species
UCGGAAUUAUUGGGCGGAAAGCGCGCGUAGGCGGCUACUUAAGUCGGAUGGGAAAGCCCUUGGCUCAACUGAGGAAGUGCACCCGAAACUGAGUGGCUAGAGUACGAAAGAGGGUCGCGGAAUUCCCGGUGUAGAGGUGAAAUUCGUAGAUAUCGGGAGGAACACCGGUGGCGAAGGCGGCGACCUGGGUCGAUACUGACGCUGAUGCGCGAAAGCGUGGGGAGCAAACAGG